AGAUACAGCCGUACCCCGGCGAAGGCCGGGGCCCAGGCUCCACCAAGUCGGUGCCGUGCUAUUCGAUGCGGGGGAGGCAAAGGCGUCCCACCUGCGACAGCGCACCGCAACUGGACCCCGGCCUUCGCCGGGGUACGGCGAGGAUU
rnacentral:miRNA from 1 species